rnacentral:rRNA from 1 species
GUACUCAUGGGGUAAGUGAUAAAUCUUUAUCAUCCAUAUGGGGACCACCUGUGGUGAAAGCGCUCGGAUUAAACACGUCUAGACGGUGAGAGAACGAAGGUAGGAGCACAAAUCGGAUUAUAUACCCGAGUAGCCCUAGCAGUAAGCUAUGCAAACUUGGUGUUACAGUGAACUACGGGUCCAUUGUUCCGCCGGAGNGGAGGUGUUAAGUUUGCCACCUGGGAACUACGAUCGCAAGGUUGAAACUUAAAGGAAUUGGCGGGGGAGCACCACCAGGGGUGGGAGCUGUGGUUUAAUUGGAUGAAACGCCUGAAAUAUUACCAGGGGCGACGGCAGGAUGACGGCCAGGCUAAUGGUCUUGCCUGACGCGCCGAGAGGUACUGCAUGGCCAUCCUAAGCUCGUGGCGUGAGUUGUCCGCUUAAGUGCGGUAACGAGCGAGACCCUCAUCCAUAGUUGCUAUCUCUUUCUCAGGAAAGAGAGCACUCUAUGGAGACUGCCCGCGUUAAGUGGGAGCAAGGUGAGGGCCACGAUAGGUCAGUAUAGUCCGAAUCCCUUGGGCUACACGCGGCUCACAAAGGUCAAGACAAUGGGCGAGCCACUCCGAAAGGAGGAGCCAAUCCUAAAACUUGAUCUCAGUCCGGAUUGAGGGUUGAAACUCACCCUCAUGAAGAUGGAAUCCGUAGUGUGCGCGAUCAGUAC